UAUUUUACGAGUGAAACUCAACUUGUCAAAUCUGAGUUCGUGUAACUGAUAAUAAUUUAGAAAUGCCUAUCAGGAAGGCUUUUGAGUGGCAUGUGACACCAAAUAGAUCUGAUUAUUGAUUAUUUCUCUGUUCCCACCGCCAUGCCAAACCAAUCAAGUUUACACUCAACAUACAUAUUUUGCUUCAGCAAACAAAAUUAGAAGGAAAUAUCAUGCAGAUAAUCAAGUGAAAAUUCACAAAACACAAGCUAAGGACGUCAACUCGAACAGAA
rnacentral:misc_RNA from 1 species